rnacentral:rRNA from 1 species
UACCGCGUAAAUCAACGAGAUCGCAUGAUUUUGUUGGAAAAGGAGCAAUCCGCUUAAGGAUGGGCCCGCGGCCUAUUAGCUAGUUGGUAGGGUAACGGCCUACCAAGGCGACGAUAGGUAGCCGACCUGAGAGGGUGAACGGCCACACUGGAACUGAGAAACGGUCCAGACUCCUACGGGAGGCAGCAGUAGGGAAUAUUCCGCAAUGGGCGAAAGCCUGACGGAGCAACGCCGCGUGAGUGAAGAAGGUUUUCGGAUCGUAAAGCUCUGUCAACAGGGACGAAACAAGACGGUACCUGAGAAGGAAGCCACGGCAAACUACGUGCCAGCAGCCGCGGUAAUACGUAGGUGGCAAGCGUUGUCCGGAAUAACUGGGCGUAAAGCGCAUGUAGACGGCAUGAUAAGCCAAAUGUGAAAUGUAGGGGCUCAACCCCUGCACUGCGAUUGGAACUGUCAAGCUUGAGUGCAGGAGAGGCAAAUGGAAUUCCCAGUGUAGCAGUGAAAUGCGUAGAGAUUGGGAGGAACACCAGUGGCGAAGGCGAUUUGCUGGACUGCAACUGACGUUGAGAUGCGAAAGCUAGGGGAGCAAACGGGAUUAGAUACCCCGGUAGUCCUAGCCGUAAACGAUGGAUACUAGGUGUAGAGGGUAUCGACCCCUUCUGUGCCGCAGCGAACGCAAUAA